UACGAGUGGCCAGUGUGUUGGUUCCGAAUUGGUGCGUAAAGAGCGUGUAGGCGGCUCGGUAAGUCCGCUGUAAAAGUCAAAGGCUCACCUUUGAAUGUCAGUGGAUACUGCCGGGCUAGAGUCCGGAAGAGGCGAGUGGAACUCCUGGUGUAGCGGUGGAAUGCGCAGAUAUCAGGAAGAACACCAACGGCGAAGGCAGCUCGCUGGGACGGUACUGACGCUGAGACGCGAAAGCGUGGGGAGCGAACAGG
rnacentral:rRNA from 1 species